rnacentral:lncRNA from 1 species
AGCUAAUCCACAAGGAACAUAACAAUAAUUUACUCCCUCUGUUUUAUUAUAAGUGUCGUUUUAGGUUUCGAAACACGAAUUAAUGAAACAAUUAAUUUUGUACAUUUUCUAUAAAAAACACUAUUACCUAUACACCUAACCAUAUUUCAACCAAUAGAAAAAUAAAUUUUGCAUAAAAUUAAUAAAUUUUGCAUUGAAAAUUGAAAACGACACUUAUUUUGUAACGAAAAAAAUUCUCUAAAACGACACUUAAUAUGAAACGGAGAGAGUAUUAUGUUAGGUAGUUGAUAACAUAAUAAAUUUGGAAACGAAGGAAAAUAAGUUUGUUUUUAUUGGAUAC